rnacentral:lncRNA from 1 species
GUGUUACAGCCGUGCACCUGCCUGUUUAUUGCUCGCUCAGCAGUGUUCCUGGAGCUGCAGCCUGGUUUCAGUCCCGGCACUUUGAGGAGGAUGGAAAACCAGCCUGCCGGUGGGUGGAUCUGUUCACCGGUAUAAGCCAGAGCAAGGGUUGGAGGAAUUCUGCCAAAUUUUUGUGGAGAGCCAGUAGCAUUCAGUAAUGUAUAUCGCUAUGCCUUCUGGGACAUUGAGGUGAUCACAAAAGAAGCAAGCAAAAAAUAAUGGAGAAAGUACCCAGACUAUCAGAAGGGUCCUCUCAAGGAAUCCAGCACUACCCUACUCCUCCUGACAAGGUAAGCUCCACAUCCAUCUCACAUGUCCAGUGCUGCCACACAGCUAAUAAAGAUUCCUGUACCUCUCUGCUGCCAAGAUGUCCACUAACACACUGUUGUGUUUGUGCCUGGAACCCAGGACCCUUUUGCAUGCCCUUGAUACCCUCAACCAAAAGGAAUUUCAUUGGUUUGUCCCUGGAGGCUUCUCGUGUCCUGAGGGGGGCUCGUGUGUUGGCAAGGAGCCAAACUGAUGGCUAUUACUACCUGGGCCACAUUGUCCAGGAGGUGAAGGGCUCCAGGGAAGGCUUUUUAGUUGAGUUUGACCAAAGUUGUGCCCUGAAGGGCAAGGUCCAGCGUGGCUGGCAGGAAACGCCCCUCUUUGACAUUGUGCACUACGACGACGCCCAGCGACAGCCUCUUGCUCCAGGGGACAGGGUCUUGGCACCAUGGGAGGCUCCAGCCAAACGUUUUGGCCCUGGCAUCGUGCUAAGGGUUGUGGAGAACACAGAGGCACCUUCAGUAUGCACAGCACACAAGGAAAGGGGAGUGCUUGUGAAUUUCUGGAAUGGGCAGACUAAGGAGGUGUCUUCUGCCCAAGCUCUGCGGAUUCCCCUGCCCCUAAGUGAACGCAUCAUCCUGGAGUUGCAGAUGCCUUUAGCAGCCAGGCAGAUGGUGGUAGAUUCAAGCUUGGAUUACCCAUACAUUGUGGCACCAGGUUAUAGAGCCUCAGGGCACUACACACAGGGUCACCUGGGCCUGGAUUGCUGCCCAGAGGCUCUGUAUUCCACUCAUCCCUGUGCAAAGUGCAGCUGGGUGUGUACCUUGCUUCCCCAGUGCUGCCUUGGAGCCUGGGAACCCACACAGCCUGCAGAGUGCAAAGUGCAGCAGGAAAACACCUUAAUCCCCAGAGCAAGCCUGAUUGAAGAAAAGCUCAGCAAGAAAAUAGAACAGAAACUGUCUGAACUGAGGAUUGCUUCUUCAGAAAGUGUUUCCAGAGAGGAAAAGAAAAAGGAAGAGAAGAGAUUAGAGACAGAAAAUGUUCCCAAAGAUGUUAGGUCCUGUUUGGAAGAGGACCAUGAGGUUAUAGAAACUGAGAAGGGCCCUCAGAGGGAGAUGGCUCGUGCUGUGGUUGAUGCUGCUGUCAACACAGACAGCUGGUUAAUGGAGACAGAUCACAAGAAAGAAGCAGAGAGCAGACAGCAGGAUGCUGAAACUGAAGCUAAUUUUGAACAUGAUCAUGGUAUUGGAACUGUAACUCUUUUACCCAAACAUAAGACUUAGCACAUAAUAUCAGUGCAGGAUGG